rnacentral:rRNA from 1 species
CCUACGGGAGGCUGCAGUGAGGAAUAUUGGUCAAUGGACGAGAGUCUGAACCAGCCAAGUAGCGUGAAGGAGGACUGCCCUAUGGGUUGUAAACUUCUUUUAUAUGGGAAUAAAAUGUUCCACGUGUGGGAUUUUGUAUGUACCAUAUGAAUAAGGAUCGGCUAACUCCGUGCCAGCAGCCGCGGUAAUACGGAGGAUCCGAGCGUUAUCCGGAUUUAUUGGGUUUAAAGGGAGCGUAGGUGGUUUGUUAAGUCAGUUGUGAAAGUUUGCGGCUCAACCGUAAAAUUGCAGUUGAAACUGGCAGUCUUGAGUACAGUAGAGGUGGGCGGAAUUCGUGGUGUAGCGGUGAAAUGCUUAGAUAUCACGAAGAACUCCGAUUGCGAAGGCAGUUCACUGGACUGCCACUGACACUGAGGCUCGAAAGUGUGGGUAUCAAACAGGAUUAGAUACCCUAGUAGUC